UACGGAAGGCAGCAGUAGGGAAUAUUGGGCAAUGGGCGAGAGCCUGACCCAGCCAUGCCGCGUGCAGGAAGAAGGCUUUCUGAGUCGUAAACUGCUUUUGACAGGGAAGAAUAAGCUGGUCGUGACCAGUGAUGACGGUACCUGCAGAAUAAGCACCGGCUAACUCCGUGCCAGCAGCCGCGGUAAUACGGAGGGUGCGAGCGUUGUCCGGAUUUAUUGGGUUUAAAGGGUGCGUAGGCGGCUUUUUUAGUCUGGGGUGAAAGCCCGCUGCUCAACAGCGGAACUGCCCUGGAUACUGGAGAGCUUGAGUACAGACGAGGUUGGCGGAAUGGACAGAGUAGCGGUGAAAUGCAUAGAUACUGUCCAGAACCCCGAUUGCGAAGGGCAGCUGACUAGGCUGUUACUGACGCUGAGGCACGAAAGCGUGGGGAGCGACAAGGGAAUUAGAUACC
rnacentral:rRNA from 1 species